rnacentral:misc_RNA from 1 species
GGGCUCUGCAAUGCUUGCUGAAAGGUUAGCACUGCCAUUUCUGCAUCAUAUGUCAUAGUUAUUUAUUACUUUUACUCUAGGUCUUUUCAGUUAUAUUAGACUUCUUGAUUGUAAGUCAACUCUAUUCAAGACUGUUGAGUGCACUUGGUUCUGUGAUUUGACUUUAUUGGUUGCUUCUACUUCCGAAGUAUAGAAUUUGAUCAUGGGAUGCAUUUGAAUAUAAAUUAACUGUGAUGCUUGUUUAAUGCUUAAUAGUCCCUAUAAUUUAUGAUCAUCUUAUAGUCCUAGUUUUGGGAUUACUAACUCACGAAUUCUAAUAUGCAAUUUUAGUUGGGAAGCUGUAUUGGAAAUUGAAAUUACUUUAGAAAUAAAUUGCACUCCAUUGCUAUAUGAAAUGAAAAAAAAAUUUCUGAUCUAAGUGAGUUAUGACCACCACAUGAAGGUUAAUUCUGUCCCUAGUCAUAUCAUAGUUAGGAAUUUAAGUUGUUAUAAAUAAUCCCUUGUGUAUCAUAUGGUGCCUAAGAACAAUCAUAUAAAGUCUUCAAGGAACUGCCUCAACAAUGCAUAAACCAAACCAAAAUCUGUAUGAGUUGUGUUGCGUUGGCUGCAAUUUCUAUGGUUUGGUUAGCACUGGCUUGAAAAUUUGAGGUUUGGCACAUGUUUGUGCUGGUAAUCAUCCAAAUUGAUGCACACAUUAAUCUGCUCUUUUGACAUUUUACAAGCAAGGAAGAUAAAUAAACUAGUCUCAACUACUACAAUGAGCACUGGCCUAGAAAUGAAAGCUUUGAUGUUAACAUUGUCCUACACAUUGAUAUUGAAGUGGAAUCAAAUAUUGUUUAGUAAGUAGAUAACUCUAAGCUUUGGAUAACAAACAUUAUUUGAGGCCAAAUAUUGUUUAUGUUUUGACUUUUGAAGGCAACACAAUAUGGUUUUGGUAGGUCAAGGUUAAAGUUUUUUGCAUCAAGAUUCAAGAAAGAAAGCAAGUUUCUAAAUAGUGUCUUUGAGUUGAAUUUUAUACUUUGGCAAGUGAUAAUAGUUCGUGGAAUUUAAAAUAACAAAUUAGAGAGCCUGCAAGCCUUAAUUUUAUCUUACAUAAUCAGGCGGUGCAAUGACAUAUAAACCAUCUAUACUUUUUGAAAUCCUUUUCAUGUGUUUGUUCAUUUACUAUUUUUUGGUUUUGGGGGUACCGAUUUUUCUCAGCCUUUGAGGUUUCAUUGGAAGCGUGUGCAAGGUAUGCUCAUCAAAUAUAUAUUCACACAAUAACUCAAUAGUGGUGUGUUGUAUGUGUCAUCAAUUGCCUCCCAGAACACCCUGCACCUUAGGAAUAUGUGGAAACUUUUAAUGCAGCUCAAUGUUCAAUUUUCACUCUUAGUUCAAUGACUGAUAUCUAUGAAUGCCACUCUUCCAUUUCUCAUCAUGUCAUUAUUUGCAGGAAGUUUCUUCUCUUGUACUUGUGGCUACAUCUUAAUUAAAUGUUCUUCUAUCAUGCAGACUGGGGAAUGAUGAUUCCAC